GCUAAGAUCAAGUGUAGUAUCUGUUCUUAUCAGUUUAAUAUCUGAUAUGUGGACCAUCGGUUCACACGAUAUUAAAUUUAUUUUUUAAGGGGAAAGGUUCUUCAAAGUAGCUUGCUAUUUGGGCCUUUGCGCGUCGCUCAUGCGUUGCACUACUGCUUGGGCCUGGCGCACCCCACCAAUCCAGUUUAAGUUUUAAUUCUUGUUAGUGCUAUCAUUACUACCUCGUUCAGUAAAUAUUAGUAUCGUGUUAAUUGCUUAUGAUUUUCUCUAAUAUAUGAGUACAACAAAUUCCAAUUUUCAUUUCGGAAGGUAGAGUCGAAACCAGUAUAUUGAGCUAAAAAUUGGGUCUUUUUAGCAUCACUAAUCAUGAAAUAUAGUUCUACUGAUUACAGAUUUUACUGUAACCGCGUAAAUCUUCAUCAAAACCUCAUCCAUUAAAAUGAUUUCUUCUCCAAACGUCAGUGAAUAAAAUAUUCAACCAAGAUUAGCUCACAAUCUACAUUGUCAUGUCCAAUUGAAGAAAUCGAGAUGCUUGGUGGUUUGUCCGUGUUGGAAUCCGCCGCCGAAGUUUUUCUAUUGGGCCGGAAUUCGUCUUUUUCCCUUGUGGAUUUCCGACAUUUCCGAGGCCUGUUUCUGUUAGGAGGGGAGAAGCAGAGGAUAGUUGCGGCGAGAAGCGGUUUGAAGGACUUAGAUCAGUGUGUGAUUCACAUGCUUUGCUGAUUUUGUUCCUCUGAGAUGUAAGACAUGGAUAUUCAGUUAAGUGGUGGGCAUUCUCUCGCGUGUGCCAAAUUGUGUGCAGUGUUUUGAACCGGCUACUGUUGUUCCGCUCAUAAUAAAGUAGUUUACUUUUACAGUCUGAAUGGUGCAGACAUUGACAUCCCCGAGUGGAAGUUCUCUGAAAUCAUGCAGAUCAUUCUAUUUUGAGGAUAGUUCAGAUAUUAGGUAAGUUGGGAAAUUGGAAGCGGGUGCUCCAACUUAUUGAAUGGCUCCAGUCUCGCUACCGCUUCAAAUGUCACAGACCAAGAUAUAUUUGUACUGCUGCACUGUAUGCUCAUGGAAAAGCGAGGAGGCCAGUAGAGGCUCUCAGCUUAUCAUUGCAUAGCUGUCACUCUUGGACAAGCAGGGUAUAUAAAGGAACUAUUUGACGUGAUCGGUCCCCUCCCAAAAACAAGUUCAAAACUGAAUUGCUUGCAAAGUGGGAUCCAAGACUCGAACUGGAUGUAUAACGCUGUACUUAAUGCUUGUGUUCGGCGCCAGAAAUGGGAAGGGCCUUUUUGGGUUCUGCAGCAACUAAGCCAACAGAACCAACAACCUAUGGACUAGUUAUGGAGGUAAGCCGGACAUAGUCAUUUCUGGCUUGGCUCUGCAGAGACGUUGCCUAAAAAUGCCUACUUUUUUUCUCUUUCAUGUAAAAUGAAAAUUCAAGGAAAAUACAAACAUUCUAUUCUGAGCUACUAAAAUGCCUCUGUUGGAGCAGGUCAUGUUGGCCUGCGGCAAGUAUAACUUAGUUUAUGAUUUCUUCAAGAAGGUGCAGAAAUCAUUACCCUUACCACUGCUGCAUCAUAAGUAUUACCUUGUAAACCUUUUCCCUGUUGUGUAUAGUUCUCGUAAAUGCUCUAUGGAAGGAAGGAAAAGUCGAUGAGGCCAUACACGUUUUUAACUUUGUAGUUGGUACCGCUGGUCUCUAUUAUGACCUUGCUCGCUGCCUUUGUAGUGCAGGAAGGUGCCGUGAAGCACUAUAACAAGUGCGUAGUAUAUAUUUCAUACACGUUUUUAACUUUGAUUUGCAACUUGGUGAGUUUAGCCCGAGCAACAUUUUACGCUAUUACUGUGUCGGACUUGACAACUUUGGUUUUGUUUCCUCAUUUUCGUUUUGGUUCGUUUCUGCAUAUUGACAAGAUCUGCAGAGUUGCAAAUAAACCACUUGUGGUAACUUACACUGGUUUGAUGCAAGCAUGUGCGGAGUCUGGCAACAAACUCUUGAUCGAGAACGCCCACCGGUUCCCGGACCAAGCCCUCCACCAGCUCGUCCGCGAUGGAAGCAUUCUUCUUCACCGGUCCGAAAACCCUGCUCUUGAACAUCUAUUAGAUUCUUGCAAAGAUUUUUUAAGGAAACAAACAUUAAUAGAUGUGAAGCAAGUAGAAGUAGGAACUAGGUUUCAAGAUAAUGCUGCUUUAGUAUGCUAAAUUUUGAAAUACUAUUUAUUUUGUCUAUUCAUCUUAUAAUGUUGAAUUUCGUCAAUUUUUUAGAUCAAGCUAAUAAAGAAGUGGAUGUUACAAGUAA